GGAAGCGUGCCCGAACAACCCAAGGACUACUUUGAUAGAGUAUAUAAUAGAGGUUUAAAUCCUCUCACUUCCU
rnacentral:tRNA from 1 species